rnacentral:rRNA from 1 species
GAUGAACGCUGGCGGCGUGCUUAACACAUGCAAGUCGAACGAUGAAGCCCAGCUUGCUGGGUGGAUUAGUGGCGAACGGGUGAGUAACACGUGAGUAACCUGCCCUUAACUCUGGGAUAAGCCUGGGAAACUGGGUCUAAUACCGGAUAGGAGCGUCCACCGCAUGGUGGGUGUUGGAAAGAUUUAUCGGUUUUGGAUGGACUCGCGGCCUAUCAGCUUGUUGGUGAGGUAAUGGCUCACCAAGGCGACGACGGGUAGCCGGCCUGAGAGGGUGACCGGCCACACUGGGACUGUGACACGGCCCAGACUCCUACGGGAGGCAGCAGUGGGGAAUAUUGCACAAUGGGCGCAAGCCUGAUGCAGCGACGCCGCGUGAGGGAUGACGGCCUUCGGGUUGUAAACCUCUUUCAGUAGGGAAGAAGCGAAAGUGACGGUACCUUCAGAAGAAGCACCGGCUAACUACGUG